UUCUCCACUGUCGGCAGAGAAGAGAGGAGGCAGCUUAGGAGCAAACUCACACGGUUCUAGAGCAACAGGAAGGCCGUGCAGGCCUUACAGCCAUGGGGCAGGAGGAAGUGUGGGGAAGAGAAAUAGUUCCCCUUUUUGGCUAACAUCUUUUUCUCCAGAAAACUCAGAGUGGCAGUUGUGGUUUGGCUUUUUGGUUUUGUUUUGUUUCUUUCAAUGCUGUGGAUGGAGCCCAUGGCCUUGUGCAUGCUUGGCAAGUGUUCUGGUUCUGCUGAACACAAACCAGAGGCUCAACGGCCAACGUGAAACAUCUAAAGGUGUCCACAGAAGGCUAAUGCCUCAUACAACAGCACAGCAGCACUGACAGAAACAAGGAGACAUCCUGAGGGUGGAGUUGCUCCGACGGUCCAAUAUGCACCAUGAUGCUUUUUUACGGAUCAGAAAGAGUCCAUUGGUCCAGACUCCUUGAUUGAGCAUGGAAACGUGGGUUUUGUCAGUGGCUGGGGACACCAGGGUCCCCUUGUUUGAGGGGAAAGACGGGCAAAUAAAUGGAAAAGAAACUUAACAACUUCUGUCUAUGAGUAACUAACUGAUCUUGGACAAGUCCACUUUCAGCUGUAAGUACCAGAGGCCUCAAGAACAGCAGGGGGCACUGUCUUCCAUGUUCUAGGGAGGCUGGAUGUCCAUAUGAACAGUUCUACCAGUGCCUGGCCCUGACAUCUGCUCUUCACAUCACAUGACUAAGCUUUUUGGACUUUCCAGGGAAGAUUUCUCUCCGUAGUCACAAAACACACGUUCAUAGCAGAGCAAGAACCCUGGAGAGCCCGGGGAUUAAAGUUGGCGCUUCAGAACGAAGACAGAAGCCCUUUGGAUGUACGCGUGUUCUGGGAGCUUUGGAAGGACACUGGUGGGUGGCAGCUCACCUUGGUGCAGGGCGGCAUGGUGAUAUUCAGGUGGCAGAGGAUGUGCUGUGUGUCCUCGUACUUCAUCGCCUUCCGCAGGAAUGACAAGAACCCUCCCGGUUCACGAC